rnacentral:rRNA from 1 species
AACGCGAAGAACCUUACCAGGGUUUGACAUCCUGAGACCGCCCUCUAAUAGGGGUUUUCCCGCAAGGGACUCAGAGACAGGUGCUGCAUGGCUGUCGUCAGCUCGUGUCGUGAGAUGUUGGGUUAAGUCCCGCAACGAGCGCAACCCUUAUCCCUAGUUGCCAUCGGGUCAAGCCGGGCACUCUAGUGAAACUGCCUGGGAUAACCAGGAGGAAGGUGGGGAUGACGUCAAGUCCUCAUGGCCUUUAUGUCCAGGGCUACACACGUGCUACAAUGGCCGGUACAAACCGUCGCAAACCCGCAAGGGGAAGCUAAUCGGAAAAAGCCGGCCUCAGUUCGGAUUGGAGUCUGCAACCCGACUCCAUGAAGCUGGAAUCGCUAGUAAUCGCGGAUCAGAACGCCGCGGUGAAUACGUUCCCGGGCUUGUACACACCGCUCGCGA